UACAGAGGGUGCAAGCGUUGUUCGGAAUUAUUGGGCGUAAAGCGCGUGUAGGCGGCUUUGCAAGUCGGGUGUGAAAGCCCUCAGCUUAACUGAGGAAGUGCGCCCGAAACUGCAGAGCUUGAGUACCGGAGAGGAUGGCGGAAUUCCCCAAGUAGAGGUGAAAUUCGCAGAUAUCAGGAAGAACACCGGUGGCGAAGGCGGCCUGCUGGGCAGUGGCUGACGCUGAGGCGCGACAGCGUGGGGAGCAAACAGG
rnacentral:rRNA from 1 species